rnacentral:misc_RNA from 1 species
UCCGAGUUGACCCCGGCAGUCUCCUACGAGUCCCCGGCAUUACCCGCUGGCAACAUAGGACACGGGUUGCGCUCGUUGCGGGACUUAACCCAACAUCUCACGACACGAGCUGACGACAGCCAUGCAGCACCUGUGGCGCACCCUCGAAGGUCACACGUUUCCGUGCGCUUGCAGCGCCAUGUCAAGCCCAGGUAAGGUUCUUCGCGUAGCAUCGAAUUAAACCACAUGCUCCACCGCUUGUGCAGGCCCCCGUCAAUUCCUUUGAGUUUCGGUCUUGCGACCGUACUCCCCAGGCGGAAUGCUUAAUCCGUUAGGUGUGACACCGAAGGGCAAGCCCCCCGACGUCUGGCAUUCAUCGUUUACGGCGUGGACUAC